rnacentral:rRNA from 1 species
UGUAUAAUGGGUCAGCGACUUAUAUUCUGUAGCAAGGUUAACCGAAUAGGGGAGCCGAAGGGAAACCGAGUCUUAACUGGGCGUUAAGUUGCAGGGUAUAGACCCGAAACCCGGUGAUCUAGCCAUGGGCAGGUUGAAGGUUGGGUAACACUAACUGGAGGACCGAACCGACUAAUGUUGAAAAAUUAGCGGAUGACUUGUGGCUGGGGGUGAAAGGCCAAUCAAACCGGGAGAUAGCUGGUUCUCCCCGAAAGCUAUUUAGGUAGCGCCUCGUGAAUUCAUCUCCGGGGGUAGAGCACUGUUUCGGCAAGGGGGUCAUCCCGACUUACCAACCCGAUGCAAACUGCGAAUACCGGAGAAUGUUAUCACGGGAGACACACGGCGGGUGCUAACGUCCGUCGUGAAGAGGGAAACAACCCAGACCGCCAGCUAAGGUCCCAAAGUCAUGGUUAAGUGGGAAACGAUGUGGGAAGGCCCAGACAGCCAGGAUGUUGGCUUAGAAGCAGCCAUCAUUUAAAGAAAGCGUAAUAGCUCACUGGUCGAGUCGGCCUGCGCGGAAGAUGUAACGGGGCUAAACCAUGCACCGAAGCUGCGGCAGCGACACUAUGUGUUGUUGGGUAGGGGAGCGUUCUGUAAGCCUGUGAAGGUGUACUGUGAGGUAUGCUGGA